GCAGAGUAAUCUCUGUUUAUACAUAGAAAUAUGCCAGCAUUUGUAUUGCCGGUUUUACUGCAAUACUGGCACUGGCCAGGCAGACUGAAAUACCAUAAAAUACCAGUCAGGUGGCAACCCUAAGGGUAAUGUGUAAAAAAAAAAAACGGUCUGUUUUCCAUUUUCCUUUUCUUUUAGUCUGGACCUGCAGCAGUGGUUCAAGCCUCUGCCCUUUCUUGCAGGUAUAGAUUGUGCCG